rnacentral:misc_RNA from 1 species
AACUUUAGAGCCAUACAUGUAGAUAUGUGUGUAGAAGUGAGAUUUACAGCUGAGUAAUCAAAUAUAAAAGAUUGAGAUGAAUAGUCAUGCUUCGCAUUAACACUCUUUGCCUAUUCUUUUUUGUUCUGGGAAUGGAGUUUAUCAACAUUUGAAUUGUUGAUGCACGAGAGGCCUUUUGUAUGGCAAAUGCUUGUAUGGAGUU